CCUCAUUUAAGGGCUGGCUGCCACAAGUGAGUGUUCUCUACUUGGAGUUUCUUCUUUUGGGAGAUUUUGAUAAGCUCUGAUCCUUGGCGUGGUUCAAAACUGUGGUUUAACUUGAAAGGAGGAGCCUGUAACUCCCGCUUACUUAAUGCUUUGUGCAGACUGAUCUUCCUUUGGCUUAUAAGACAAAAAUAAUAAUUAAAUGAACGACGAGGUUCUUAGUAAGUUUGCUAAUGUCAGGUUCUUAUGAUUCCAAAUAAGGUUCUGAGCUACCUCAGAGAGAAAAGCUCAAUCCUUAUUAAAGUGGGAAUUGAGCCAUUGAAUUUAAGUGUGGAGGAGAUGAGAUGCACCCAGGGACAAGUUCUCUCAUAGGAAUUUUCCAUGGAGGUGUCCAGAGCAUGUCAGCCUUGGGGAUAAACUGCUUUUGCUGUUGAAAAAAGCUGAAAAUGAGCUUGUAGUUUUUUCAUCAGAGAAAACCACCGGUCCUAUUCAUUUGGCAUUUAUGGUGUGCAUUCUUCUGUGAGCUUUGUCAGACUGCACUGGCAUAUCACUUGGCUACGAGGAAGCAGUAUCUGACACUGGAGUGAAGUGGGGGUAGGAAGGCAAAUCGACUUUUUCAACCGAUGACCACAGAGCAACAUCUGGAAUUGUAGGGUGUCUGUAAUAAAUCCCAUCUUAUUAUCCUGCAUAUUAAAUGUAACUCAGUUAAUGACCAUAUAGAGCAGAUUAAUGUGAGCAAAGUCUAAUUAGGUAAAGA